CGAAUUCAGACGGCCUACUCCUCCUCCCAGGGCACGUCUGUCGGAACUGCGGCACUCCUCCUCCCAGCCGUUGUUCGGUUCUUUUCGGAAAGCCUGCCGCACCUCCUCCCGCGGCAGGCUUUUUCG
rnacentral:sRNA from 17 species